CCUUUUGUUGUUUUACUGUGUCUUCUGGAAGUUUACUUGUAGAAAAAUAAAUCACUAAAAAAGCUACACUUAUUAAACAUUGUAUUAUGGAAAAAAUACAACUUGUGGCAUUACUAGCAGGGUUGAGUUGUGAAUUAGAUUUGAGGUGAGCCUCUGUUUCCAUUUGUUACUUGUGUCAUUGAUUUCAGUCCCUAAAUAAAAAUCUGGUUUUCAGGGACAUAAAACUUCAAGAGCUAUUGAGUACUUUUAAUUGCUUCUUAAUUUUCAGUUUGUAUCAUUUCUGCUCAUUUAGAACCAUUAAAUACCUUAUUAAUAUAUCAUCUUUUUGGGUGUAUACCAUGAUUAAUUCUCUUACUCUGUUAGAAUAUUUAUUAAUUAUAUGAUUUGAUGUCUCAAGACAGACAUACAUUUAUUGAUACAUUUAUUUAGUUGAUACAUUUAUUUAGUAAAUUAUACAAUUGUUAGUAUUCAAAAUGUUAAGUACCUCAGUGAAGGAAGAUUAAAAUUUUGAUUAUACCUGGUUUAUUUUUGUUCAGAUGUUUAGUUGUACUGGCCUUAUGGAAUGUUCACUGCAUCCUGGAUAUCUUUGAUGCCUUUGAAAACACAGGUAGGGAAGGGGAAUAGAAAAUAAAUCCCUAUUUCUGCUUUGAGACUGUUGUGAUCCAAGCAGACUAGAAUCCCAGGAUCUCAGCCCUGUGGAAUUUACACAGAGGUCUAACUCCUCGUGUCUUCUAACAAUGCCAUCACUGCCUCAGUAACGUAUUCCUGCCUUUGCUUAGGUUUUCCUGCUCUAUUUAUUAUUUUUGUCUUGUUUUAAUGGCCUUGUUUUAAAGGAUUAUUUUCCACAUUGGGGAAAUAAUUGCACGGGGGAGAAGAUUGUGCAUGGGUAAAAAUGAAUGUCUGCUACAAACUGAAUUCCUCUGCUUCCAUAUAGAUGCUUUAUGCUGAUAAUGAACUUCAGUGGAACUGACAUAAGGAGACAACACUAUUUCAUAAUAGUGAUGUUUUUUUUUCUCUUGGAAUAACUUUCCAUCCCGCAGGAAAAGGAAAUUUAAAGGAAAAUAACCACACGGAUUUUGCCUUUCCAGGAAAUGCCACUUUGCAUGUGUAAUGAAGGAUUUACUUCAGUAGCUUUUCUUACUGUUCCCUGAGAUGGAGUUUUAUUUCUUCUUGGAUGCUGCUGAAAAACUUAAACUGUGGGGGGUCUGGGAAUUUCAGAAGAGAUUUAAUUUGCACUCACAUGCUAACUUGAUAAAAUAAAUGAUUUUGCCUGCAUAUUCAUGUUGGCAUAUAAACUGGUGUUCUUGCAGCAAAAUAGUUCUGGUUAUUUUUAUUGGCUUGAGUAGAAGUUUAAUAAGGUCAGAAGAAAAUGGCAAAAAAUAUUUUAAGUAUUCUUUAUAAAAGGCAAUUUUCUUGCUCCUCAAAAAGUUUGCUGCUCAAUUUUGAAGAGAUUUAAAAAACCUGGAACUAACAUAACUUCAUAACACAGACAUUAGAUUCUUAAAAGCAGCAAGGAGCACAAAUGGCAAUAACCAGUAUCUGAGGACUAGAUUUCCAGGUGUAUUUGAUUUUUAAAUUUCCUGAGCAUUGAAUUAAAUAUUGUAACAAAUGAUGUGUAGCUGAACUUUAGUCUGAAGUCCAAGGAUCUGUCUCUGUGCUGAGCUGGAUUGACCCACGGAAAUCCUUGGGACACGAUGGUGUCAGGGGUUCUUUUAGUCUGUGAAAUUCAUCUGAAGUAUUUUGCUGCCUUGUGGCUUUUGUGAUAUCAUUUGUUAAAUGGUGAAAUAGGAAAUACUUUCCACCCACUCUGCCUUCUGAACAAACAGAUUUUUGUAGGCAUUUUUACAAGCAUAACAUCAUAUGGAGGAUAUGUGUUAAUUUUCACUUUGAAAUAUGUAGGACUUAAUUUUCAAAUCAUAGGUGGUGAUUAUUUGUGUCUGUAGCCUUUUAAAAAGGAACUUUAAUUCUGUGCCACCCAGGUAUAACACUUUUUGUACAAGUCAAAUUGCAUUAUCUUUUAUUUAAAUGCUAAACUGGACUGUAGUUCAGCAAUAUAGGAGAUUGAAUGAAAUAAGUGUUGAAUGGUAAGAUGGUCAAUAAAAGGUGCUUAUUGUUAACAAAGA